ACGGGACCGAAGUCGUUCGAAAUAGGCAUUGAAGCCGUUAUUGCGGACAGAUAGGAGCCGAUGACUCCGUGCCCUCUUCGUUUACUGCAUCCCAGCGCCCGAGCGAGAAUUCAUGGACCACAAGACUGACACAAAUGUGUAGAACGUGGGACACGAAUCUCGUUUCGAGUUUCACCCGCAGCCGCACCGAGUAAACGGUCAGCCUAAGGCGAACGGACAUAGAUUGACAGCCGAAUUCCAUCUAGUAGGUACGAAACACAGGAAACCGGGGGAAGGCCAAUAGAUAUUGUGCCAACAAUGAAGAGGAUAGCAAGAUUGGACGUCGCCGCUCAAGGCAGGGAUCCAA
rnacentral:misc_RNA from 1 species